rnacentral:rRNA from 1 species
AGAAAUGCAGAUGUGCCCGAAAGGGAGCCGUAACACAGGUGCUGCAUGGCUGUCGUCAGCUCGUGUCGUGAGAUGUUGGGUUAAGUCCCGCAACGAGCGCAACCCUUGCCAUUAGUUGCUACAUUCAGUUGAGCACUCUAAUGGGACUGCCGGUGACAAACCGGAGGAAGGUGGGGAUGACGUCAAGUCCUCAUGGCCCUUAUGGGUAGGGCUACACACGUCAUACAAUGGCGCGUACAGAGAGUUGCCAACCCGCGAGGGGGAGCCAAUCUCAGAAAGCGCGUCGUAGUCCGGAUUGGAGUCUGCAACUCGAC